rnacentral:rRNA from 1 species
GACGAACGCUGGCGGCGUGCUUAACACAUGCAAGUCGAACGGAAAGGCCCUGCUUUUGUGGGUUGCUCGAGUGGCGAACGGGUGAGUAACACGUGAGUAACCUGCCCUUGACUUUGGGAUAACUUCAGGAAACUGGGGCUAAUACCGGAUAGGAGCUCCUGCUGCAGGGGGGGGGUUGGAAAGUUUCGGCGGUUGGGGAUGGACUCGCGGCUUAUCAGCUUGUUGGUGGGGUAGUGGCUUACCAAGGCUUUGACGGGUAGCCGGCCUGAGAGGGUGACCGGCCACAUUGGGACUGAGAUACGGCCCAGACUCCUACGGGAGGCAGCAGUGGGGAAUAUUGCACAAUGGGCGGAAGCCUGAUGCAGCAACGCCGCGUGCGGGAUGACGGCCUUCGGGUUGUAAACCGCUUUCGCCUGUGACGAAGCGUGAGUGACGGUAAUGGGUAAAGAAGCACCGGCUAACUACGUG